UAUCACAUGGAGGAGUGAGCUGGGAGCCCUAAACCCUCCUGUGCAGCAGCUGUGAGGUGGGGAGACAUUAAACAGCUGAGAUCACUGAGAAGGGAUGAGGAUCUUGGGUGCUGGGGUCAGACACUGGCCCUGCAAGAACGCAGAGAACUCAGAUCACAGCUUGAUUUUGGGUCCUGAAUAAAACCACAGCAAGAAGAGAUGGUCCAAGUUCACCAAGAGCUCCCAGCCUUCCACAUCUCUGCCUCCCAAGGGAAUGGAGCUUUAACUGGUCAAUAACUAAAACACCAUAAACCCGAAUAAAUCAACUCAGGACUAGAUAUACACACAUUAUAAAUGUUUAGUUCUGAUGAUAUAUGACUGAGCUGUUAUUUUGACAAAUAGCUAGUGAAUAAUAUAUCUGAUGAACUGCAUAAUAUUUUACUAAUGAUUAAUUUAUUCAUUCCAAACAAACAAACAAAGCCCAGCCUUUUUUUUCCUCCACUAUCCUAAAGAACUCUAAUGGUUGCAAAGAGCUUUGAGAUCCCUGGAAGAGCUGUGUCUAUUAUUCCUCCUUUUAUCAUUGUGUAUUUCUAGUGAUUUAUUACCAGGGAGAAUAAAUUCAUGGUUUAUGUUA